ensembl:lncRNA
CAGGGAUUCUCACAGGAUGACUCUUACGUUUAUGAUCUGAGAGCAAUGACAUCAGCCUCUGUCUUUUUUCCGCUUUUAAUUAAUGUUCUGGAAAGAUGGGGCUGGGGAGGUUGUGAGCAUGGGGAGGGGGCGGGCUGGCGGGUGGAGUGGAACCCGCAGGCCUCUCUGCUCCAGCGGUCAGCUGAGCGCCGGCGCACAGACAUCCUUUGAUUAAGGAGGGUAUUUCGGGGAGUGCAGGCUGUGCAGAAGAUCACGGCUGUGCCCUGUGGUGCUGUCAGCAGUGACAGAUCCCAGAUGGGGCCGCUACUGUGUGGCAGAUUGAGUUUCUCAACAGAAAACUCACCCUUCCUCCUAAACGUCUUCAAAAACCUUCUCCGGAUACUCCAUCUAUCCAGGUCUCGUCGUCGUUUAAAAUAGAAACAGUCCAACCCCGAAGUUGGUUUUGACUGCGUGCCUGUACGCUAGGUUUAUUUUUUUUUUCUCUCCCUUCCUCUUUUGCUCUGUACUUCCUUCUCCUUUUUGCAUCUUCCACUCGCGAGGGCCACUCAUAGCAUAGAUGCGGUGGGUCUUGAGGAUUCCUGUUCACCAGGUUCAGGGCACCAGGUGGCCGAAUCAGCACUGAGGGGCCCCCAAAGGCAAGGCAAUUCGGUGGGUAGAAGCUCGAUGCGGGAUGAGUCUGUGGCGCGUUAGGGGAAGUCAAGGUGGACCCCGUGAGUCACACACUCUGGAACAGAGAAGCGGGGGUGGGGGUGGGGGGGGAGAUAAAGGAGGAAUCUGAAGGUACCUUGUCCCUGCUCCAGACGGCCUGGCUCUUUGGGGAGGCGGCCCGAAGUCCAAGAUAAGGGAGGCUGGCUCUUACCGCUGUGGUAGGAGUCUGUUGGGGAUAGGUGAGAGUCUGUAGGAACCAAGUACCCUUAGGAAGAGGGAGAGAGCUGCGGGGAUCCGAGCUGCGAUCUGAGCGACCUGAGCAGUGAGACCGGACUCGGGCCUUCUGAAGAUGAAACAUCUGAAACCGAGAGAGGAAUCUAGAGAGCGCGUUUUGUUCUGCUUUGCUUUAAUAAUAAGUUGUGUAUCCUUUUAAACACCUUGGCAGUGGCCACCAUCCUUCUCCCACAACUUCUCAGUCUAAGAGACCAUAGGAAUAUCCGGGGGAACUUAAAUACCUGAGAGGCCACACUCAACAUCCAAGAAACUACCCGCUGCCUCUGCAGAGCGGGGACCCUGCCGGCCCACGAGAAAUCGUCACCUUCCUCACCCAGGCAACCUGAUCGCAAGGCCGGGACCCAAGUCAGAGACUCUGUGGGUCGCCUUCCCAUUGAAACCCCGGGACCGGAGAAGUAAUGGUCUUGAUGGAAAUCUGGGGCAAAAAACUGGGAGCCUCUAGCCCCCUCCGCACCGCGGCGGAGUCGGAACCCGGAGCUCUUCUGCAUAACGUCAGCUUGCCGGGUAAUUUACCUUUCCUGCGCGUCUGUCAAUAUGACUAAUUUCCACACGGGUCAAAAAGCCUUUCUCCGGCAGUCCAUCUUGGAGCGCUCUCUUAACGCGGUAGACGGGGGUAGUUGUUUUGUUUCCACCCUAGAAAUAAAUACUCUUGGGGCGUCCCUGCCCGGGCAGCCCUGAGACGAACAGGGGAAUAUACACCAUGUCAAUUAAAGGCAGUUUGCCUUGAACUACGAACUGUGAUUGGGCCUCAACGACAGCGACCUGCUUGCCUUUUAAUACACAUUACCUAACUCGUCCUUGAUUCCAAAGCUUUCUUUAGAAACAUAUUUUUUUUUUCCCAAGAAGGAAGUAAUUAUUGCUCCAAUUCUUCCCCAUUGGGUGUAGUUCCCCAGUGAAACAGAGCCACAAUUCAGGGUAUGUUUUAAACAUAGGGUAUGAUUGCUAAUCUGGCCUAGACAAUAUAUCAUCCAGGCGAUGUUUUACAAUAACUUUCAAACUGCUACCGACCUCUAAGUGCGAACCGUGCUGUGGAGUUAACCGCUCUCUCAGAGGCCGCUGGUAGGAGCAAGGCCCUAACUCUGAGAAAUGUGCUUUAAGAAGUUAACUUGACUCGGAAGGUUGGGUGAUUCUCAAGUGGUAGACUCAGGGCUAAAGCAAAGGAAAUGGGAAGACAAGGGCACCCGGUUCUGAGGGCACCCAGUUAGGUUCCUUAGGCUUUGGAGAAUUUUACUUCGCUGACCCAUGGACCAAGGUGCUUGGGCAACUGGAAAUUGCUCAACAGCACGUUUUCUUUCCACCCAAGCUCAGGCAGUGAGAACACAACUAAUAAAAUUACAAUUUUAACAAAUUUGAAAAUAUAUGCACGUUUCCUCGCGCGCGCGCGCGCGCAUACACACACACACACACACACACACACACACACACACUCGGACAGACAGACAAACAGAGAUUAGUAGACCACCAUUAGGAAACCACCCUGGGUGGAGGGGAGGGUGGCACAACCUGCACCACAUACAUGCCUCAGCCAUCACACCUGUCUGUGGUGAACACACACACACACACACACACACACACACACACACACACACCCCUUUCCCUCUCUCAUCUGCUGGUGCAUUUAUGGCCUAAUGAAAGUAUAUCCUUUAGGGAAAAGACGGUCUAUAAAACGUGAAAUAUUGAGAACCCCGUUUGGAUAGUCCCAACCAGGGUCUGGCCUGGUCUUAAUUUUUUUUUUUUUCGCAAACACCUUGACUCCUUCUGUUGUUUCCAUAAUCUCCCUGUUAUUUUUACUAAACUAUGAAAAACUUUUUUUCUUACUGACCUCUGUUUAUUCCCCGUGGAAGGGGAAAUGGUUUCAGCCUGAGGACUUAUCUUUGUUUGUGGGGAAGGCAUUCUCUCGGUGGGGGGGGGGGAGGAAUUUUACUGUCUAUCCCCUGUCAUUUUGAAAAACCCUGGCACCAUAUGUUCCAGCAGCUGGGGGAAACCAAGGGCUCUCUCAACUCCCGUUCACUUCCUUCCUACCCCAACUGCUUCCGUCAAUGGCUACCUUUCUACCUUUUGGGGUCUCCGGCUGUACUUUCUCCUGGUCACUGUAUGAAAUUCAUCCCCACACAGCACGGUGAUCAAAUGCACACCCGUUUUGUGGGGAAAGAUAACCUAAUUUUACAUCUGGGCCAGAAUCUGUUGAUGAGCACACAUGGGCAGAGCAGCAGAGGUCCUUUCCAGUGUGCUUUCAUAUAGACUGUACAUCUAAACAAGACAGUUUCUUUCUAAGUCCCUUUCACUUUGCAACUUGACCUUUGCCACCAGAGCAGUUUAGGUUGUUUACUAGCCUGGACUAUGCAACAUGAAAAACUUCUGGAGAUAUAAACAUCAGAGCGAGUUGCAGAGCAGUGUCCUUUGGCAGGGCGGGUUUGUUUAUUUGCACAUUCUUGGGGACCACAGCAGUUCUAAAUUAAAAUAUUUUUGGCAUGCAAGUACUCUUUAAUUACCUGGAAGUAAUGAAAGUGAAUGAUUAUCCAACCCCAAACAUACUUGACUCCUUUGAUUUCUGAGUUCACCCUGAGUUUUGAUGCUUCUAUUUUUUUUUUUUUAAUGUAGGUUUGAGCCAGGCAUGGUGUCUAGCCUAAAAUAUGAGCAUUUGGAACAUGGGUACUGGAGGAUCACCAAAAGGUGCUAGCCAGGUUGGUCUUCACAGCAAGUUCCAGACCAGCCAAGACUAUACAGCAAGGCUCUCUUUCCCAAAACAAAACAAAAUGAAAGACAAAAGAUGCACGCUAGAAGAAAAAAAAAAAAGUUUAAAGCAUUGUUUUCCUUCCUGAGUAGUAGUUGCCUAACUCUAACCCCUUUAGAGUUCUGCAAAGGGGCAAAGUGCAUGGCCCACCCAGAGAGGUGUGACUGGGUGUGUGUGGAAGGAAAGGACUCUGAGAGGAAGCUAUUUCUAGGCAAGGAUCUUCUCCAUGGAAAAAAUAAUGUUCACUUCAAAACAUCUGCUAGAAACUGUUAUAUUGUAGUUUAGUCUUUCCCAGUGGCACUAAAGGCCCUUGUUCCUUGGAAUCUACCUUCCCAGUGACUUAACUGGAGCUAUAAGUGGCUUUAAAUUGGCUGGCCCCCUUGUUUGGGAGGAUGAAAGGAAGGACUCACCUAAAAUGCUUUUCUUCUCAUAAAAAUAGCAUUUCCUGGUCAGAUUUCCAAUUUAGGACCCAUUAAACAAAACAAAAAGCAAACUAUAUGUUUUUAAAUCCUAGAUUCUCCGUAGAUAGCAACUAAUACUUCCUCAAUAUGUGACAGAUGCUAAAUAAGCUACACUUAGCAUCUUUCUUGUGUAUCCUGGGGAUUGCUUCUUACUUGGUUUUGUUUGUAAAGAUGGGAUCCACCUGUAAUCUAGACUGUCCUUAAACUAAACAAGUAUUCCUCCUCCUAUGUCCCCAGUGUUGGUAUUACAAAUCUGCACCAUCUCCCCUCAUGAGAUACAUCCCUAACAAAAGGUAGGAUGUUCUUCUGAGUCAAAAUGUGUACAAAAUAGACGGGCAAAACAUUUUUCCAGCUAUCUUCACUGUCAUUCAUUGCUUUUUCAACUUCUCUAAGCUUUCUAAUAUAUGGCAACGCCAAAAGUGAUAUCAUUUCUAUGGUUCUAGCAUUGCAAGUCUCCUGGACUAUGUCUGCUCAGCUGAUGGAAAUGGGUGGGGAUGAGGAAGAUCCUUGGAGGCUUUGGAGAGGUUCACACAAAAUACAAUGUAAUUGUAGUGUAAGAUACCACCCGAUUGCAAUUUAAAUUUUACAACACAGGGGUAUAUGCAGAAAAAAUGAUCACUAAGGCUCCAUAUUUGACACUAUUCUGUGACUGAUACCAAAAAAAUAAAAAGAGGGAGAAAAGAAAGGGGAGAAAGGAAGGCAAUUAGAAAGGCAGAGAUUAUAAAAUUCUUUGGGGUGGGGGUUAAUUUUUUUCAAGACAGGGUUUCUCUGUGAAACAGUCCUGGCUGUCCUGGAACUCACUCUGUAGAGCAGAUUGGCCUCACAGAGAUCCACCUGCCUCUGCCUCCCAAGUGCAGAAAUUAUAAAAUUCUAUCUAGAGUUGUGGAAGUGGCUUUUCGUGUUUUUUGGUGUGGCUCUCCUUCCAACUCAAGUUGAUUUUGGUUCUGUAUUGUUUGGGGGGCUUAGGAUUGAGUCUCAGACCUGUCACAAGCUAAGAACUCUUUCUAUCAAUCUAUCUCUUCUUCCCUCCAAAUUGAAAACAGCUAAAUUGCUAUGUAUCAAAUAAAUCAUGAAUAAAGUGUCUCUUAUUAUAUGAGUAUUUUUUACCACGUUCUCACCUGCAGUUAAUUUGUGCAGGUUCUACAUGGAUAGGCAAAGGAUUAGGUGAUAAUAUUCACUAUAUAAAAUAAUUGAAAUAAAUUCUGAAAUGUAAUAAUCAUGCAUACUUUGGUUUUUUGAGACAGGGUUUCUCUG